GAUGAACGCUGGCGGCGUGCCUAAUACAUGCAAGUCGAGCGAACGGACGAGAAGCUUGCUUCUCUGAUGUUAGCGGCGGACGGGUGAGUAACACGUGGAUAACCUACCUAUAAGACUGGGAUAACUUCGGGAAACCGGAGCUAAUACCGGAUGAUAUUUUGAACCGCAUGGUUCAAAAGUGAAAGACGGUCUUGCUGUCACUUAUAGAUGGAUCCGCGCUGCAUUAGAUAGUUGGUAAGGUAACGGGUUACCAAGGCAACGAUGCCUAGCCGACCUGCGAGGGUGAUCGGCCACACUGGAACUGAGACACGGUCCAGACUCCUACGGGAGGCAGCAGUAGGGAAUCGUCCGCAAUGGGCGAAAGCCUGACGGAGCAACGCCGCGUGAGUGAUGACGGUCUUCGGAUCGUAAAACUCUGUUAUUAGGGAAGAACAUAUGUGUAAGUAACUGUGCACAUCUUGACGGUACCUAAUCAGAAAGCCACGGCUAACUACGUG
rnacentral:rRNA from 1 species